UGCUCAAUCACAAGCCAUGAUACAAUACACGAAUGGCUUAUGACUGAGCGCUAGAAGAUCUCUCAUAGUUCAAUGAGAGGAUCUAAAUUCGACAUGUCCUCUUCCAGAUGCUUCAGGGAAUCAUAGGAUCAUAUUUACACCUCCCAAAACUCAUCCUCACGCUAACUGUAAGUGAAUGCUCGACCUUUUUUUUUUCCUCCAUAAUUUGUAGAUUAAUAUAUUUACUUCGGGUGGUUUUAGUCUUCACGUCUCCAGUUAAUCAGGCCAUGCUUUGAUUUCUUGGAAGUUUACCCGUAAGGCAAACAAAAUCAGCUCGAAAAGAAGUUCCAUCAGAAGGCCACGGCUCGCGAGUUCAUGAAAUGAGCUCGCGAAUUAUGACAUUCUCUGCGUUUUUCUUUUCCUAUCACCAUCUCCACAUCCACCUCCAUUUCGUCCCCCUGUAUCUUAUCCCAACGCCUCCCCUUAACCCCCCCCUUCGCAUUCCUACCUUGUAUUGGUGGAGCUCCACUAGCUUCUACUCUACUCCCGUUGAGCAUGAUCCAAUGCCAGCCACCUGGACUCCUUUUUCCCUGCCCUUAGCGUAGCACCUGCCACCUUUCCUCCGCCUUCACUCUCGCUCACUCCAUAUGUCUAUCCACCGCCCGUCGUCUCCUUUCCAAACCAAACAUAAUACUAUCAUAAUUGCUAAUCUCCAUGAAAGCCGUCCGAUCAAUGCAACUGAAUUGUUCGACAACAAUAGCUGUACUCGGGAAUAUCAGUCAUAGCAUGUGUUGGAUGAUGCUCCAUGACUUUGUCGAAAACAAGUUCUCUCAACAUGCCGCCCAGAAGCUGUUCAAAGGAAUGCUCUAAAGAAAUGUACCACAUAAACAGCGCAUCACCACCUUCCUCUCAACCUGUAAGGAUUUUGGUAGCUCUUUCUCCAACAUCUUGGUCGCUGCCGGGGCCGGCUCGAGCCCUAGGCGACUGAGGCGGUCGCCUAAGGCCCCCGGCCCCAAAGAAGCCCCCCGCUGCCGUCGCACCGCGCUGCGUCGCUGCCCAAAGAAGACCCUGCUGCCGCCGCGCCGCGCUGCGUCGCUGCCCAAAGAAGACCCUGCUGCUGCGCUGCACCGCAGUUUUCACAGCAGUGGCACUGUGGCAGUAGCUACUAACCUACCGCCUGGCGCCUAGCUGCCUACGACAAUGGAUAGCCGACAAGACAAGCAACGGACGACUCCUUCCCCCCUUCUCGUAGAGCCAACGGCUCCCUCGACAAGAUGACUGAGGGUGAGUCUUCUGCAGCGACACCAUCCCAAUCCGGCAAUCCCAUCGCCAUUCGCCCAUCGUCCCUUUCUUUAAAAUCCUCAUGGUCCUCCACUCCUCAUUCCUCAAUCCUCAUCGUCCUUCUCAGCUCCUCUUCUGCAGCUCUGCUUCACCGACCACCCUCUUCUGUCUUCGUCUUCGUCGUGACCAACAAGGGCCGAAGGGCGCCGCCACGCCGGCGAGCCGGCGAGGUCGUCUCCUCUGUCUCCCGCCGUCCCGCGACCUCCUUGCCUCUCUCUCGUCCGCUGAGGCCUAAGUCCCUGGCUCCCAUCUUCUUCACGUCAGCCCGCUGCACUUAUGUCUAUUGGUUGAGCCGUUGAGGUCAAUCCAGUCCAUUUACAGCAGUAGUUCGGUCAUGCGCCAUGAAGUUGAUAAUCACACUUACAUUCUGCAUUUAUUUGAGUGGCAUUACCUUUUGCAAGUUCAUGCUGAUCUUGAAAUCAUGCUGCUUCCCCGGUUCCCCCUCCCUCAUAGGAACUCACCGAAACAUUUGUCCAGCCUUGCUUGAAAUUGGUGCUUCCUUGCUUCUAAUGUACUUAUUGAUUUGAUCUACAAGCAGCCUUCCUUAUCUUUUCUGGGUGAAUGUUGGAUAGAAUGAUUCUUUCAGUUUUAUUUUUUUAUAUCUUGCAUUGUGCCAUUGUCCUUGUGUUGGUGCUCUUAGCAUUAGAAGCAGAGCUCAAUUCUCAAGUUCCUUUCACUAGCCUUGUCAACAAGUAGAAGUUGAACACCCUUUUUCUGUCUUUUUUUAUUGGAGUUUAGAGAUUUAUUGUC